GAUGAACGCUGGCGGCGUGCCUAAUACAUGCAAGUCGAGCGAACAGACGAGGGGCUUGCUCCUCUGACGUUAGCGGCGGACGGGUGAGUAACACGUGGAUAACCUACCUAUAAGACUGGGAUAACUUCGGGAAACCGGAGCUAAUACCGGAUAAUAUAUUGAACCGCAUGGUUCAAUAGUGAAAGACGGUUUUGCUGUCACUUAUAGAUGGAUCCGCGCCGCAUUAGCUAGUUGGUAAGGUAACGGCUUACCAAGGCAACGAUGCGUAGCCGACCUGAGAGGGUGAUCGGCCACACUGGAACUGAGACACGGUCCAGACUCCUACGGGAGGCAGCAGUAGGGAAUCUUCCGCAAAGGGCGAAAGCUUGACGGAGCAACGCCGCGUGAGUGAUGAAGGUCUUCGGAUCGUAAAACUCUGUUAUUAGGGAAGAACAAAUGUGUAAGUAACUAUGCACGUCUUGACGGUACCUAAUCAGAAAGCCACGGCUAACUACGUG
rnacentral:rRNA from 1 species